rnacentral:rRNA from 1 species
GUGUAAGCCGCCUCGGUAAUACGUAGGUGUCACUCGUUAUCCGGAAUUAUUGGGCGUAAAGCGCGCGUAGGCGGUUUCUUAAGUCUGAUGUGAAAGCCCACGGCUCAACCGUGGAGGGUCAUUGGAAACUGGAAAACUUGAGUGCAGAAGAGGAAAGUGGAAUUCCAUGUGUAGCGGUGAAAUGCGCAGAGAUAUGGAGGAACACCAGUGGCGAAGGCGACUUUCUGGUCUGUAACUGACGCUGAUGUGCGAAAGCGUGGGGAUCAAACAGGAUUAGAUAACCCUGUAGUCC